rnacentral:lncRNA from 1 species
GCACAUAGUUUUUAUAUGUUCGAGUCUUGUUGCCAAUUUUGUUGAAUGCUUUGCAUUAGUGUUAGUGUAACAAAAGAAACUUGUAUUCACAUUUUCUAAAUGGUAACUCGCUUGGAAAGUGCAUAUAUAACUACAUAUUCUUUGCCUUUCUUUUAUGCUAACCCAUAAUUAAAGACAUUAGCUUAGAUAACCACCUUAGUUCAGUUCUUGCUGCCAUUUUCUGCUCCAACAAGUAGUUUAGACUAUGAUGAUUCGCUAGUAUUAUAAGUUUUU